UGAGUAAAUUCUCCAAAAUAAAUAUACAGAUUUACUAUUCGUACACAAAUUUCUGUACUGACACGCUUAACUGUAUGUUUUUAUAUUUAAAUGUUUGUUGUUUACCAUUUUAACCGCUAAUUUAAUAGCCGCGAUGCUAGCUAUCAUAAUGAACUUCGUGGGACGAAAUGGAGAGUAUUAAAUCACAAACGGCGAUUUUUAGUCAGCUUUGUUCAUUAUAUUCACUUUUAGUCAUUGUAACUCUGUUCUUUUCUGAACUAAUUUGUUGUCGUUUACGUUUGUUAAUCGUUACCCAUCCAUGUUACAUGUAGACUAUCUAAUAGCUUAUUUUUCGAUUCAUUUAACUUACAGAAAAAAACUGUUUUUGUCCUUUUCUCUCCUCAGAACCUAUACAUUUAACAGGGUUCACUGAGCAGCACUAAUCAGUUAAUGAAGACGUUGUAUGUUUCAUGAAUAUGGCUCUGUAGUGGACUGGUGGAGCUGCUGAUGUCUGUUGCUGGCUGACAAUAAAGUGAUCUCUUUGGACUUACCUCAUCUUUUGAAGAAAUCCGAGCCUUGCUCCUGAUCCUGCUGUGCUGGACGGUAUAUGAUUAAUUGAGAAUCUUACACUAACUGUGGUAAUGAAGACCCAUUUGGUGAGAGCAGCACUGCAGAUUUUCCUGAUGGUGAGGAGCUACUUGCUGACGAACCCACCAACAUGAUUUCACCUUAUAAGUGCCUUUGUUCUAUUCAACAUUAUACAGAAAAGCUGUUAAACGUACAGCAAAGUGUACUAUUUUUCUGCUGCAUUUGUUGGGUAUUCAAGAGGAGAUCAUCAAGCUACCUACAGCUGUCUUGAGGCUUAUCAAUUUCUUAAAAUUUCCUGUGUGAAUUUUCCCAAUCUGUGACCUCCAUUUAGAACAAGAAAGAAUGUUAUCGUUGACUGCGAUGUACAUUAAAUUUGCUCAUUUGAAUUGUACUAUUUUUGAAGUAUGAUUGUUUUAAAGUUCUAAGAUAUUUGAGUCACAUUUAUUUGUUUAUGGUUUUGUCAAGGUGUAAGUUUUAUUUAUUUUUUAUUUAUAACAAUAUUAACACUGGUGUUCCCAUGAAUUUGAUUGUGAUGUGCAGUAUUGAUUAUUUAUUUGAAACUUCUAUGGAUGUUGUUGUUAAUCAAUAAACAAUGUUUGAUAUGUAUUCAUUUUAGUUUUUCUGUUUGUUUAUUAAAAUAAUUAAAUGUCAAUAGCAGGAACAAUAAACUAGAGGGAGGGAGAGGGGAACAAAUAUUAAAGAACUGAAAUUGAGAAAUGGUGCCUCGAAGCACCAAGGUGGUUCCUGACCAUUCUUAAUAAAAGGGUUCCUCCAGGAACCGUUAAAAGUUCCUCAGAGAACCACCCC